AAGAUUUUAAGUUAAGUAAACUAAAAACUUUCAAAGUUUUUAAUAAAUUAGUAUAAUUUAAAUCUUG
rnacentral:tRNA from 2 species